rnacentral:rRNA from 1 species
GACGAACGCUGGCGGCGUGCUUAACACAUGCAAGUCGAACGGAAAGGCCCUGCUUGGGUUGGCGGCUCGAGUGGCGAAGGGGUGAGUAACACGGGAGUAACCUGCCCUGGACGGUGGGAUAACCUCAGGAAACUGGUGCUAAUACCGGCGAGCAGCGCCUGCUGGAUGGGGGGGGUUGGAAAGUUGCGGCGGGGGGGGAUGGAUGCGCGGCUUAUCAGCUUGUGGGUGGGGUAGUGGCUUACCAAGGCUUUGACGGGUAGCCGGCAUGAGAGGGUGACCGGCCACCUUGCGCCUGAGAGACGGCCCAGUGUGCUACGGGAGGCAGCAGUGGCGAAUCUUGCACAAUGGGCGGAAGCCUGAUGCAGCAACGCCGCGUGCGGGAUGACGGCCUUCGGGUUGUAAACCGCUUCCGCCUAUGACGAAGCGUGAGUGACGGUAAUGGGUAAAGAAGCACCGGCUAACUACGUG